rnacentral:lncRNA from 1 species
UACCUGUGUGUAUGCCUAGUCUUUCCCAUAUAUAUAGAUAUAAAUAUCUAUAGCUAUAUAUAGAUAUUUAUAUAAAUAACUGUCAUUAAUUUGAAUGAAUUUAAAUUUCUUUGUUUUUUCUUUUCUUUCAUUUUUUGUUCUCAAGCAACUCGUUUUGAGGCAACCCGUAAAAUUAACUUGCUGCUGAAGACUGAUGAACCUCUUGAACUGACCAAGAGGAAAUCGGUCCUGCCUCAAAAAUAUCAAGAUGAGUCAGAUAACUCGACCGACACUGACAGUCAGAUUCUUACUCAGUCGUUACAUGUCAAGGUGAUAUCAAGUUAUAUGGAGCUCUUUUGUAAUAUUUCUCAAUGAAUGUUACAUCAAAUUGUGGAAGUGAUUUUUAGUUCUGAUUUGCAGUUAUAGACUGCAAUGUUUAGCUUUAAAAUAUAAACCAUCAUUUGUAGUUCUUGUUACUGAACCUGUUGUUUUUGCAGUUGAGCUACUAAACUGAAACAUCAGUUGUUUUUUUCUUUUUCUGUAUUAAUGAUUUGAUUUUUCUCUCUCUGGACACCCAGAAGUCAAAGGUACAGAAAAGAAAAGACCCUGCUGAAGACUUUCUUGAGAUGUACUGUCAUCCAAAAACAAGUUCAAGGGAUAGAAAUCCAGAAAAGACAGUAUCUGAAUUAAUGCAGGAGAUCAAGGAGCUGAAAGAGGAGAACGCUAACUUGAAGGAGAUGGUUGUUCAAGGUAUUUGUUCAUAUUAUUUACUAAAUUAUUUGACAAAUCAUUUUUCUAAAGCGUUUUAUCCUGCCAUUACUGUGUUGCAUUGUUUUUUACUUGCCACUGAUGUAAAAUAAUUUUUGUGUUUAUAUUUUUGUUUCUACUGUGUGCAGAUAUACCAGAACUCAUGAACACCAUGAAAAAUGUAAUUAAGUCGGUUGUACCUACUAAGCGAUCCAGGCUUGAGCUUAAUACACCACCGAUGCCCCCCCCAGAGUUUUAGUUCCUCAGCACCAUCCCACCCUGGAGCUACAGAAUCCAGUUCCGUGUCUGACACUGUGACUCCAUCCCAGAAGGACUCGCAGUCUUCUAAGGUGGAGAUCUACCCUGGAACUGGAGUCCUGGUGGAGAAACUGGCGUGGACGUACGCUUUAAAUUCACAUUCAGCCACUGGAUUUGUGAGACAUCUAGUCACAGCAGUCUUCCCACCAGAGAUACUGCUGGUGAGCAAUCUUCGCGGGGGCAAACGAGGUGGAGGCGAUGCUCGUCUACCAUUGGACAAGCAUAAAUUGGAUGCCAUUUACAGUAUGUUUUCAGCUUUUUAUUUAUUUGUGUGUGUGUGCAACAUUUUAGUCCUCAUUUACCAUAAUGACAGUCUACCACCAUUGGUUGUACGACUGGUACCAAGAGAAUCUGGCACUAUUUGACAUCAACAUUAUGUAAUGAUUUUUCCUAUUUUUAUUGGUCUCUGUGACAUUACAAAGUACACUAAGUUCUCAUCUGUGUGUUCAUAUGUGUUUGUGUGUGUGUUCAUAUGCAGGUGCAACUCUUAAGAGGUGGCCAGGGACACAGAUCCCCAGCAUCGGAACCACAAUAAAUGGCAAGAUUACAGAACUCCGGGCGAAAAGUAAAAAUGUUGCCGUGCCAUAAGUUGUCAUGGUUACGCUUUGGGUUGGUUCUUAAGGUUGUUUCCUGUUUUAUUUUUAAGGCCCUUCCUUGUUUGUUUAGUUUAGUUUGACUUCCCUCGUCCCAAUCUUUCCUGAUCAUUGGCACCUAUGUCUCGUCAGCCCCGUUAGUAUAUAUGUCUUGUCACUCCCUUCCUCUUGUGCUGAUCCGUACUGUUUGUUCCCCCCUUCAAGUGGUUUUGGUUCUAUUGUCAAGCUUAGAUAAGUCUGUUCUCAGUUUAUGUUACUCUUUUGGUAUUUGGAUUCCCUGUGGUACAGCGUCCUCUGUUAAAUAAAUAGAUUUUGUUUUUUCGAAC